GUGUCAGCAGCCGCGGUAAUACGGAGGGUGCAAGCGUUAAUCGGAAUUACUGGGCGUAAAGGGCGCGUAGGCGGCGUGUCACGCCGGGUGUGAAAGCCCCGGGCUCAACCUGGGAAUGGCAUCCGGAACGGGCAGGCUAGAGUGCAGGAGAGGAAGGUAGAAUUCCCGGUGUAGCGGUGAAAUGCGCAGAGAUCGGGAGGAAUACCAGUGGCGAAGGCGGCUGCCUGGGCUGACAUUGACGCUGAGGUGCGAAAGCGUGGGUAGCAAACAGGAUUAGAAACCCCAGUAGUCC
rnacentral:rRNA from 1 species